rnacentral:rRNA from 1 species
UACGUAGGGUGCGGGCGUUGUCCGGAAUUACUGGGCGUAAAGAGCUCGUAGGCGGCUUGUCGCGUUGUUCGUGAAAAUUUACCGCUCAACGGUGAACUUGCGGGCGAUACGGGCAGGCUAGAGUACGGCAGGGGAGACUGGAAUUCCUGGUGUAGCGGUGAAAUGCGCAGAUAUCAGGAGGAACACCGGUGGCGAAGGCGGGUCUCUGGGCAGUAACUGACGCUGAGGAGCGAAAGCGUGGGGAGCGAACAGG